rnacentral:piRNA from 1 species
UGUAAACCNGGGAAGGGAGCUUACAGAAG